GAGCUAAUUAGAUAACUUCACACAAUGAAGCAUUCACUAACCUUACUGUGCCUGAUUUUUAUAUUUUCAGGAGCUCAAUCCAGCAUUACGCUGACUCAGCCCAGCACUGUAUUUGCUAAGCCAGGUGAAAGCAUCAGGCUCUCCUGCCAGGUGUCUGGGUUUACAAUCCAAAGCUGGUGGAAAGGCUGGAUCCGACAACCACCUGGUAAAGGACUGGAAUGGCUGGCCAGCUAUUAUGAUGAAAGUAGCUCAAAGUACUAUUCCUCCACUAUCAGUGGACGUUCUGUAGCCUCAAUGGAUAUUUCCAGCAGCACAUUCUUCUUACAAAUAAACAAUCUUCAGACACAGGAUUCUGCGGUGUAUUAUUGUGCACGCACAGUGAGGCAAAGCACUUUCCUGUCUGACAAAAAUAGAACAUUUUUGUUUCUGCUGUUAAAAGAAGAACAGGGAGCAGUGAACCACUUUUUAUGGGUUGAAUGUGUACCAGGGGCCGAAAUCUAUAGAAGGUCUUCUGCACAAUAUAGAGACAGUGUUUUACCACGGUUGAGCAUUUACAAAUGGUUAGAGAAGUUCAAAAAUGGUUUGACAAGUGUUAAACCAGAAGAAGGAGUGUGGCACCCAUCAACAUCCACUACUGACGACAACACUGUGCAAGUCCAUACCAUUUCUCUGAUGAACUGA